rnacentral:rRNA from 1 species
GAACGGGUGAGUAACGCGUGAGGAACCUGCCUCAAAGAGGGGGACAACAGUUGGAAACGACUGCUAAUACCGCAUAAGCCCACGGUGCCGCAUGGCACAGAGGGAAAAGGAGCAAUCCGCUUUGAGAUGGCCUCGCGUCCGAUUAGCUAGUUGGUGAGGUAACGGCCCGCCAAGGCAACGAUCGGUAGCCGGACUGAGAGGUUGAACGGCCACAUUGGGACUGAGACACGGCCCAGACUCCUACGGGAGGCAGCAUG